AGAAAGAAGACAAUGAAGAAAAGAGAGGAAGAAAGGGGAGGAGGCGAACCAAAUCACUAGAGUCCAAAGGACGAAUAAAGGGAAAAAGGGGACCGUAGCACCACAAAAGGAUGCACAACCAGAUGGAGCAAAGUUAGGCUUUCUCGGCCACACACUCCACUCUAGACAAAAUAGCAACACAGACACUAGGGGUGGCAUGCAGGUGAUACGAUGCAAGGGAUCUCAUGGUUGCAGUUGCAGUGUGUUCUGGGCAGUGGACUAACUACAGGGAGGGCCGUAAGGUGGCUACAUGGUGAUCUGCGGUGGAUACUGGAUUCUGAUGUGGAUGUCCUUGGUGGCAAUGCCAUUGGUGAAAGAA